rnacentral:rRNA from 1 species
GACGAACGCUGGCGGCGUGCCUAAUACAUGCAAGUCGAACGAGAGCGACCGGUGCUUGCACUGGUCAAUCUAGUGGCGAACGGGUGGGUAACACGUGGGUAACCUGCCCAUCAGAGGGGGAUAACAUCCGGAAACGGAUGCUAAAACCGCAUAGGUCUUCGAACCGCAUGGUUUGAAGAGGAAAAGAGGCGCAAGCUUCUGCUGAUGGAUGGACCCGCGGUGCAUUAGCUAGUUGGUGAGGUAACGGCUCACCAAGGCCGUGAUGCAUAGCCGACCUGAGAGGGUGAUCGGCCACAUUGGGACUGAGACACGGCCCAAACUCCUACGGGAGGCAGCAGUAGGGAAUCUUCCGCAAUGGACGCAAGUCUGACGGAGCAACGCCGCGUGAGUGAAGAAGGUUUUCGGAUCGUAAAACUCUGUUGUUAGAGAAGAACAAGUGCUAGAGUAACUGUUAGCGCCUUGACGGUAUCUAACCAGAAAGCCACGGCUAACUACGUG